GUGAGGGGGUGACUAGUGACAGAGUGAGGGGGUGACUAGUGACAGAGUGAGGGAAGGAAGGGGUGACUAGUGGCAGAGUGAGGGAAGGAAGGGGUGACUAGUGGCAGAGUGAGGGAAGGAAGGGGUGACUAGUGACACACUGUCACUAGUCACCACCUCCCUCAUUCUGUCACUAGUCACCACCUCCCUCUGUCACUACUCCCUCCCUCCUUCUGUCACUAGUCACCCCCUCCCUCACUCUGUCACCAGUCAUCCCCUCCCUCACUCUGUCACCAGUCAUCCCCUUCCCUCAC